rnacentral:lncRNA from 1 species
AACUGGGGCCAUUUCAUCUCUUUCAAUGGCCCGGCAUCAUCAUCGCUGUAUGCAGGCCUGACCUCAGGCAGAAGGGAGUGAGGCAGCAUGACAUAGGAUGAAGCAGAAAGGCACUGGGGUGAGUGGGCCGGCGUCUGAAUGCCCACUCUCUAGCUGUGUGAUCUUAGGGAUCAUGACUGCUUCCCAGACCUUAGUCUCAGGAUGCCACACCGGAAGAGCUGGACCCCACAUUUGAAGACAGAUGUCCCUGGCGGUGCCCGCCUGCUCUGUAAAGAGCUAGUCCCAGGCUCCCAUUGUGACCUAGCACCUCAACCUCUCCUGACCCUUUUGCCUAGGCCAGAUCCUGAGAUCGGAGAGUACAUACAUCUCCCUGGGGCUUGCUUUCCUCUCCCAUAAAAUUUAGGAGUUGGGGAUGAUCUUAUCCCUCUACCUAGACUGUAGACUCCUGGGAGCGGGAGGCAAGGCACUCACAAGCAAGGGCAUCAGAGUGACAUCAAGACACAAACAGCCAUGGAAUCUUGGGAACAGAUCAAGGAGUCCACCUCUUAAAAUAUUGUAAAAAAUAAAAUCUGAGUACGAAUGUUGG